UGUAUUUUUUAUAUAUUUCUAUAUGUAAUGCUGGAGACAUGAACUAUAUAUAUGUAUUUUCAAGAUCCAUUCGAGUUUUCUUUAGUUACAUUAAUUUCCAUAUAGAAAUGACCGCAAAUAAUAAUGCAAGAAACACUGAAAAUAUGCAAGAAACGCUGAAAGUACUAAUGCAAGAAACACUGAAAAUAAUAAUUCAGGAAACACUGAAAAUAAUAAUUCAAUAAACACUGAAAAAAGUGAGUUUGAAGACAAGUGAUUGUGGGUCCCGCUUUGGAAAAAGGAAGAAAAAAAAACUCGAAAAAAUGAGCAGCAACUUGCCAAAUAGGCCUCGAACCUGCCAUAAUUAUCAGUGUCGGGCUCCUCGGGGCCGAUAGUGAUACCAAAAAAUUUAAAAUCAAAAUUUCAACGAUAUAUGUUUGUAAAUUUGUCGUUUCUUGCCGGCCUCUUUCUUCUAGAGUUCAUGUGCGGAGCUAUUCGGUUGUUGAUUGAUGG
rnacentral:lncRNA from 1 species